GACGAACGCUGGCGGCGUGCCUAAUACAUGCAAGUAGAACGCACAGUUUAUACCGUAGCUUGCUACACCAUAGACUGUGAGUUGCGAACGGGUGAGUAACGCGUAGGUGACCUGCCUGGUAGCGGGGGAUAACUAUUGGAAACGAUAGCUAAUACCGCAUAAUAUUGAUUAUUGCAUGAUAAUUGAUUGAAAGAUGCUAUUGCAUCACUACCAGAUGGACCUGCGUUGUAUUAGCUAGUAGGUGAGGUAACGGCUCACCUAGGCGACGAUACAUAGCCGACCGGAGAGGGUGAGCGGCCACACUGGGACUGAGACACGGCCCAGACUCCUACGGGAGGCAGCAGUAGGGAAUCUUCGGCAAUGGACGAAAGUCUGACCGAGCAACGCCGCGUGAGGGAAGAAGGUUGUCGGAUCGUAAAGCUCUGUUGUAAGAGAAGAACGGGUGUGAGAGUGGAAAGUUCACACUGUGACGGUAUCUGACCAGAAAGGGACGGCUAACUACGUG
rnacentral:rRNA from 1 species